rnacentral:rRNA from 1 species
AAUCAACGCUGGCGGCGUGCCUCAGACAUGCAAGUCGAACGAGAACCUCCCUUCGGGGAGGGGACAGUGGCGCACGGGUGAGUAACACGUGGGUAAUUUACCUUCGGGUGGGAACAACAGCCGGAAACGGCUGCUAAUACCGCAUAAUGCAGCGGCUCCGAUUGGAGACAGUUGUUAAAGCGGGGGAUCGCAAGACCUCGCGCCUGAAGAGAAGCCCGCGGCAGAUUAGCUAGUUGGUAGGGUAAUGGCCUACCAAGGCGACGAUCUGUAACCGGCCUGAGAGGGCGGUCGGUCACACUGACACUGACAUACGGGUCAGACUCCUACGGGAGGCAGCAGUCGGGAAUUUUGGGCAAUGGGCGAAAGCCUGACCCAGCAACGCCGCGUGAAGGAUGACGGCCUGGUU